rnacentral:misc_RNA from 1 species
AAGAAAAGAAAUGGACUAAAGAAAAAAAGAUUCAUAUGACCUGUCUAUUCUUAAAUGAUGUGGUCAAUGAAGUGAUUGCUGAUUUGACUAUCAAUAGACCAAUUUUGCUUAGCCAGCAAUAUUAGACUCAAUAGCACCAAACCAAAAAAGUAUAGCAAUUCAAUAUAAAAUGAUUUCAUUGGGAGAGUUUAAUAGCCAAAGCACAUAAAGUUCAGGGGUGAAAAUAUGGGUUAUUCCUAAUUAUAAGCAGUUCAGUUUUCCAUUCCAUGCAAGUCUGUUGAGUGGUUUUCAUUUUAGUUGUGCUAGUCUUACAAAGAUAUGGGCCUAACCUUUUAUUGAAUGUGAAAUUGCCUUCAUUAACA